GGGGAGUUGAAUUUAGAUACGAACAAAGACUCCUUUAAUACUGUUAGAGAGAGAAAUACUCCUGAGAUUUGUCUCACAGGCAAUUUUAAUUUCCCAGAAACAGUUUGAAAACUAUCUGCAGUGGUUGGCCAUAGGUGCGACAGCCGAAAGAUCUGUGAAACCAAGCAGUCAGUGAGCCGACAGAGGGUGAUGCUGCUUAACGUUUUGUUUCUGUGACUAGUGACAAUAGCACAGAGGAGCUGGUUAUACAAGAUAACCGCGACUGACCAAAUGAAGAUGAUAUAGUCCAUGUGAGACAGAACGAAGGAAUGGGGAUAAACGCACAGGCAGAAGAACUCCGCCAGCCUAAGGAGCAGUUCCCCCCUCCUCAAACCCCACGCCCACUGUAUCAUCGGGAUCAGAUGAAGAGCUGGCUGCCACCGUGCAGCAGCAGGUGGCCUCACUUCACGGAUCUCUGGAGAAUCAACCCCCUUCCUCAGGAUACCAAGUGUAAGGAGCAGCCUGGAGGGAAGGAAGGAGUUCCCCAGCCGCCUCUGGACUAAAGAGCCACCGGACAGAGAAAACUGCUGACUGACAGUGUCGCCAUUCACGUAAGCAUCUGGUUUAUCUCCAGGUUCUUAUUCUUUGUUAUAUUAACAUAUUCUAUGUUAACUUUGAUUUCUUGGCAAACUGGUGGAAGUGGAAACGGAAAAACAUGAAUUUGUAGGCAGUCUGCAAGCAGGACCUACAUAUCUGACUCUGGCUGUCUUGUGCUCUGUAAAGCUGCUGUGAGCAAAGUUGAAAAACCACCUGUGUAGAAACUGGUAGUGCAACGUGUGAUGUAACGUGUGAGCAUGAUUACAGGGUUGGGUCAGGGAAACCACCACGAGCGAGGGGGAAGCAGUAUGAAAGGAGGAAGCAGAAGCUGAAACAUACCUCUAAAAGAGCAGCGGAGAAAUGGUUGAAGAAACGACAGUCUAAAAUUAAAUCUGGAAGGAAACUUGUGAUCUCUGCAACACCACUGUGUCAGAAAUCUUCAGAAACUGGCAACAUGGUCCUUUGCUGGAUUAGUGAAGGAUUCUUUUGCAUCUACCUUUUGCAUAACUUAGCAAUGCUGUAAAUGCAGAAAACGCAUUGCCGAGAGAAGCGAUACUCCCAGUCACACUUCUCUAGAGAGCUGGGAACCUUUAAACAGCACUCUGGGCAGAGAGUAGUUAUUUCCCAUUCCCCCUCAUUAAGAGAAGCAUAGUUACAGCCUAGCAGUGCCACAACUUGUGCUGCACUGUAUAAGCACCAGGGUGUUUACACACCAUCAUCAGAAACAGCCGUACUCUGUGUGCUGGGAGCAGUCUGCCAGGAACCUCUC
rnacentral:lncRNA from 1 species